rnacentral:rRNA from 1 species
AUUGAACGCUGGCGGCAGGCCUAACACAUGCAAGUCGAGCGAGCGGCGGACGGGUGAGUAAUGUAUGGGGACUGCCUGAUGGCGGGGGAUAAGUGCUGGAAACGGUAGCUAAUACCGCAUACCAUCAUAUAACCCAUAUGGGAUUAGCUAGUAGGUAAGGGAACGGCUUACCUAGGCGACGAUCCCUAGCUGGUCUGAGAGGCUGAUCGGCCACACUGGGACUGAGACACGGCCCAGAAUCCUACGGAGGCAGCAGUGGGGAAUAUUGCACAAUGGGCGCAAGCCUGAUGCAGCCAUGCCGCGUGAGUGAAGAAGGUCCUAGGGUUGUAAAGGUCUUUCAGUCGGGAGGCGUUACCGACAGAAGAAGCACCGGCUAACUCCGUGCCAGCAGCCGCGGUAAUUC